rnacentral:rRNA from 1 species
GGCAGCUUACACAUGCAAGUCGAGCGGGAGUUGCUUCGGUAACUGACCUAGCGGCGGACGGGUGAGUAAUGCUUAGGAAUCUGCCAUUUAGUGGGGGACAACAUUCCGAAAGGAAUGCUAAUACCGCAUACGUCCUACGGGAGAAAGCAGGGGGAUCUUCGGACCUUGCGCUAAAUGAUGAGCCUAAGUCGGAUUAGCUAGUUGGUGGGGUAAAGGCCUACCAAGGCGACGAUCUGUAGCGGGUCUGAGAGGAUGAUCCGCCACACUGGGACUGAGACACGGCCCAGACUCCUACGGGAGGCAGCAGUGGGGAAUAUUGGACAAUGGGCGGAAGCCUGAUCCAGCCAUGCCGCGUGUGUGAAGAAGGCCUUAUGGUUGUAAAGCACUUUAAGCGAGGAGGAGGCUACCAGUAUUAAUACUACUGGGAUAGUGGACGUUAACUCGCAGAAUAAGCACCGGCUAACUCUGUUGCCAGCAGCCGCGGUAA